AAAGUCGUGUUUCUUCCGCAAGGGUUUUAGCUGGUAGGCGCCCUUCCGGUAGGUCGGGCGAAUCCAGCACUCCCGGAGGUUAGAUCGCCCCCGGGGUCUUUGGAAGAUUUCCCCUGCGAU
rfam:Cyphomyrmex costatus contig11069, whole genome shotgun sequence.